AAGAAAAUGGUGAUGGUGCUGAGGAUGAGGAGAUUGAGGAUGAUGAUGCUGAGGAUGGUGAGGAUUCUGUCAAGCCGCAAUCCUCAUCGAAGAGGAAGAGGUCUGGUGGGGAGGAUGAAGAUGAUGAUGACGGUGAUGAUGAUGGUGAUGAUGAUGAGAAGCCUCCAUCAAAGCGAUAGUCAAUUUGUUCUUGCUGAUCUGGUAUCUUUUCUGCUUGGGCCAAGAAGGAAAAUAAUCCUCUGGGAGAGGAUUGUUGGUAAAUGCUGUAGCUUUAGGACAU
rnacentral:lncRNA from 1 species